rnacentral:rRNA from 1 species
GACGAACCGUGCGAACGUUAUUCGGAAUCACUGGGCUUAAAGCGCGUGUAGGCGGCCUGUUGCGUCCGCUGUGAAAUCCCGGGGCUCAACUGUGGGCUUGCAGCUGAUACGGGCGGGCUUGGAUUCGGUAGGGGAGACUGGAAUUCCUGGUGUAGCGGUGAAAUGCGCAGAUAUCAGGAGGAACACCGGUGGCGAAGGCGGGUCUCUGGGCCGAUAUCGACGCUGAGGAGCGAAAGCGUGGGGAGCGAACAGG